rnacentral:rRNA from 1 species
UUGACCUCAAAUCAGGUAGGACUACCCGCUGAACUUAAGCAUAUCAAUAAGCGGAGGAAAAGAAACUAACAAGGAUUCCCCUAGUAACUGCGAGUGAAGCGGGAAAAGCUCAAAUUUAAAAUCUGGCGGUCUUGCGGCCGUCCGAGUUGUAAUCUGGAGAAGCGUCUACCCGCGUCGGACCGUGUACAAGUUUUCUGGAAGGGAGCGUCAUAGAGGGUGAGAAUCCCGUCUUUGACACGGACUACCGA